UACGGAGGGGGCAAGCGUUGUUCGGAAUUACUGGGCGUAAAGGGCUCGUAGGCGGCCAACUAAGUCAGACGUGAAAUCCCUCGGCUUAACCGGGGAACUGCGUCUGAUACUGGAUGGCUUGAGUUCGGGAGAGGGAUGUGGAAUUCCAGGUGUAGCGGUGAAAUGCGUAGAUAUCUGGAGGAACACCGGUGGCGAAGGCGGGUCUCUGGGCCGAUACUGACGCUGAGGAGCGAAAGCGUGGGGAGCGAACAGG
rnacentral:rRNA from 1 species